rnacentral:SRP_RNA from 1 species
GCCGGGCGUGGUGGCGCAUGCCUGUAAUCCCAGUUACUCGGGAGGCUGAGGCAGGAGAAUCACUUGAACCUGGGAGGCAGAGGUUGCAGUGAGCCGAGAUCACGCCACUGCACUCCAGCCUGGGCAACAAAGAGAGAAUCUGUUUCAA